UUUUCUUUCUUUACAGUUUGGUCCUCCCACCAAAAAUUCACCAUUUUCACUUAGAAAUCAAAGAAAUUUUUAUAGCCACCAAGAGAGAAAAUUGAUAAGGAGACUAGGGGGAGCUAGAAUAUCAAGUUAGAUUCAAGAAAUAGAAUCUGGAGGAGGGAGAAAAUCAAGUUAAAGAUUGAAAUCAAUGGCAUAAGGUAAGAACAUCAAGAUUUUUAUAUACUUUUGAGUUUGAUAUUAUUGAAAAAGUAGGAAAUUAAUGUUAAGGUAGAGUUUCAUUAUAUAAGUUUCUAUAUUCUUGUUAUGAUAAAAAAGGGAAAUAAGAGAAAGUGAUGGAAAAUGUUGAAGAGAAAGGAAAGGAAAGUGUUAUAAAUUUAGUUAUCAACAUUUUACACUAAAACAGUUUCGAGACAACAGCAGUAGUCUGACUUUGAAAAUCUACCAAAAAUCGUAUAAAUUGAAUUAGAGGA
rnacentral:lncRNA from 1 species